rnacentral:rRNA from 1 species
UAUGGGGUUUAGGCCCCUUUYGGGGGUCACAGACGGGCGAACCGGGUGAGAAACCGGGGUGACCCUGCCCUCCACUUCUGGGAAAAGCCCGGGAAACUUGGGUCUAAUACCCGGGAUAGGGACCACUGAUCCGCCAUGGUUGGUGGUGGAAAGUUUUUUCGGGUGGGGGAUGGGCCCGCGGGCCCUAUCAGGCUUGUUGGUGGGGUGAUGGCCUACCAAGGCGGGUGACGGGUAGCCGGCCUUGAGAGGGCGACCGGCCCACACUGGGACUGAGACACGGCCCCAGACUCCUUACGGGAGGCAGCCAGUGGGGAAUAUUGCGCAUGCAUGGGCGGAAGCCUGACGCAGCGACGCCGCGUGGGGGAUGACGGCCUUCGGGUUGUAAACCUUCUUUCGCCAGGGACGAAGAGCAAUUGACGGUACCUGGAGAAGAAGCACCGGCCAACUACGUGCCAGCAGCCGCGGUAACACGUAGGGUGCGAGCGUUGUCCGGAAUUAUUGGGCGUAAAGAGCUCGUAGGCGGUGUGUCGCGUCGGCCGUGAAAACUUGGGGCUUAACUCUGAGCGUGCGGUCGAUACGGGCAUCACUUGAGUUCGGCAGGGGAGACUGGAAUUCCUGGUGUAGCGGUGAAAUGCGCAGAUAUCAGGAGGAACACCGGUGGCGAAGGCGGGUCUCUGGGCCGAUACUGACGCUGAGGAGCGAAAGCGUGGGGAGCGAACAGGAUUAGAUACCCUGGUAGUCCACGCCGUAAACGUUGGGCGCUAGGUGUGGGGACCAUUCCACGGUUUCUGUGCCGCAGCUAACGCAUUAAGCGCCCCGCCUGGGGAGUACGGCCGCAAGGCUAAAACUCAAAGGAAUUGACGGGGGCCUUCGCACAAGCGGCGGGAGCAUGUGGAUUAAUUCGAUGCAACGCGAAGAACCUUACCUGGGUUUGACAUGCACCAGACAUCCCUAGAGAUAGGGCUUCCCUUGUGGUUGGUGUGCAGGUGGUGCAUGGCUGUCGUCAGCUCGUGUCGUGAGAUGUUGGGUUAAGUCCCGCAACGAGCGCAACCCUUGUUCCAUGUUUGCCAGCACGUAAUGGUGGGGACUCAUGGGAGACUGCCGGGGUCAACUCGGAGGAAGGUGGGGAUGACGUCAUAGUCAUCAUGCCCCUUAUGUCCAGGGCAUUCACACAUUGCUACAAUGGCUCCAUACAGAGGGCUGCGAGACCUGUGAGGUGGAGCGAAUCCCUUAAAGUGAGUCUCAGUUCGGAUCGGGGUCUGCAACUCGAACCCCGUGAAGUUGGAGUCGCUAGUAAUCGCAGAUCAGCAACGCUGCGGUGAAUACGUUCCCGGGCCUUGUACACACCGCCCGUUCACGUCACGAAAGUUGGUAACACCCGAAGCGCCGGCGGCCCAACCCUUGUGGAGGGAGCUGUCGAAGGUGUGGAACUUGGCGAUUGGGACGAAGAUCGUAACAAGGUAACCAU